GGAGUAGAAAUUCGCGCGUUAAGUACCGGUUGGAUGGGAGGUUGCCGCCGGGCGAAGGGGCUUGCCCCGCGAUGCGGAUUUCGCAACCGCCU
rnacentral:ncRNA from 1 species